rnacentral:pre_miRNA from 1 species
ACUGGAAUUGCUGGGUCAUAUGGUAACUCUGUUAGACUUUUUCAGGGAUUGCCAAACUAUUUUCCAAAGCAGCUGCACCAUUUUGCAUUCCCACCAGCAAU